rnacentral:rRNA from 1 species
GAUGAACGCUGGCGGCGUGCCUAAUACAUGCAAGUCGAGCGAACAGACGAGGAGCUUGCUCCUCUGACGUUAGCGGCGGACGGGUGAGUAACACGUGGAUAACCUACCUAUAAGACUGGGAUAACUUCGGGAAACCGGAGCUAAUACCGGAUAAUAUAUUGAACCGCAUGGUUCAAUAGUGAAAGACGGUUUUGCUGUCACUUAUAGAUGGAUCCGCGCCGCAUUAGCUAGUUGGUAAGGUAACGGCUUACCAAGGCAACGAUGCGUAGCCGACCUGAGAGGGUGAUAGGCCACACUGGAACUAAGACACGGUCCAGACUCCUACGGGAGGCAGCAGUAGGGAAUCUUCCGCAAUGGGCGAAAGCCUGACGGAGCAACGCCGCGUGAGUGAUGAAGGUCUUCGGAUCGUAAAACUCUGUUAUUAGGGAAGAACAAAUGUGUAAGUAACUAUGCACGUCUUGACGGUACCUAAUCAGAAAGCCACGGCUAACUACGUG